AGGGAGAAUUGGAUUCAGAAGGUAAAAAUAACCCAGGAAGAAAAACAAAAAUGCAAAUAGUUUACAUUCAUUUCCCAGUGUUCUUUCUUUGGGUGUAGCUGCUUCUGUCCAUCAUUUAUCAAUUGAAACUCAGUUAGGUCUCUUUGUCAAAGAAAUCCACUUCCAUCAAAAUAUGUACUCAUACAAUAUCGUUGUCGAAGUGUAUAAUGAUCUCCUGGUUCUGCUCAUUUCACUUAGCAUCAGUUCAUGUAAGUCUCGCCAGUCCUCUCUGUAUUCAUCCUGCUGGUCAUUUCUUACAGAACAAUAAUAUUCCAUAACAUUCAUAUACCAUAAUUUACCCAGCCAUUCUCCAAUUGAUGGGCAUCCAUUCAUUUUCCAGUUUCUAGCCACUACAAAUAGGGC